AAAAAAACGGCUGAUUUAAUAAAGCUUUCAUGCUUGACUUACUGCCAUUGCACUGGUCACUGGUUUGGUUUUUCAACCUCCCAUCUUUUUUGUUUAGUGUGUAAUACAGCAGGACAGAAUUAGGCUCUAAGAUGUUCAGUGAUUUUAAAUGGGGCUUACUAUGUAUCAGUAUUAUAAGAACAGUUCUUUAACUCCAGGCUACACCUGGAGUCCAGUGUCCAGUGCAAGAAAGACAUAGAUGUAUUGAAAACAGUCUAGUAGAGGGGUGAGGAAAGGUGUGAAGCAUCUUCUGUGAGGAAAGGCUGAGAGAGCUGGAACAAGAUGAAGCUUGGAGAUCUCUUUGGCAAUCACAGUUAAGAGUAAAACAGACUGGGAGAAGAACUCAAUGAGAGCAGCCCUGUGGAAAAGGAGUAAAGGGUCCUGAUGGACAAAAUGUUGGACUUGAGCUAGCAUUGUGUGCUUGCAGCCGAGAAGGGCAGCAGUUAGGCUGCAUUAAAACGGGUAGCCAGCAGGGAGAGGGAGGUGAUUGUCCCCUUCUACUCUGCCUUUGUAAGGAUGCAUCUGGAGUACUGCAUCCAGUCCUGGGGCCUCCACAGCAGCAGGCAUGCAGAGCUGUUGGAGUGAACUCAAAAGAGGACCAGAGAGAUGAUCAUCAGAGGGAUGGAGCACCUCUCCUAAAAAGAAAAGUUGAGGCAAUUGGUCUUGUUAAGCUUGGUGAAAAGAAGGCUCCAGGGAAAUCUCACUGCAGCCUUCCAGUACUUGAAGGGAGUUUACCAGCAGGAGGGGGAUCAACAUUUUACUGUAAUAAAUGGUGCAGUGACAGGACAAGGGGGAACGGCUACAAACUACAAGAAGGGAGAUUUAGGUUAGAUAUUAGGGAGAAAGAUUUUACUCAGGGGGUGGUGAGGUACAAGAACAUGUCACUCAGAGAAGCUGUGGAUACCCCAUCUCUGGAGGCAUUCAAGGCCGUGUGUAGUGGGGCACUGGGCAGCCUGGCCUGGUGGGUGGCAUCCCCACCCAUGGAAUCGGGUUGGGACUGGGUAAGGUCCCUUGUAACCCAAGUCAUUCUAUGAUUGUCUAUAAAUAUCUGAAAGGACAGUGCGAAGAAAAUGGAGCUAGUCUCUUCUCAGAGAUGCCAUGUACCAGGACAAGAGGCAGUAGACACGAACUUGAACACAGAAGGCUUCCUUUGAACACAAGGAGGCAUUUCUGCUGUGCUGGUGUUGCAGCACUGGUACAUGUUGCCCAGAGGCUGUUCCUUGGAACAAAAGUUCCCGGACAUUGGUCUGGGCACCCUACUCUGGGUCUCUGCUUGAGCAGGGAUUGGAUCAGAUGGACCAAGAGAUCCAUGUCAACCUCAACGAUUCUGGGACUCUGUGAAUUUCCUUUUGACUCUUUAUUUCCUCAGUGGGAAAAAUAAUACUUCUUCAAUCACAGAAUGUGCCACAAAGAUCUGAUUUGUGUUUGGAUACUGUAUGUAUGGAGGCCAUAGACAUAUCUGAAGAGGCAUAGAGAACUCUUGAACUCAAAAUAUCGAGAAAAAUGAAUAUCUUGAAUUAGAGAGGUCAGUUGAAGACCUAGAUAACCUGCCAUCCAGCCUACCCUGUUCACUUCUGUCAGUUACUGUUGAGUGUAAAAACCAGCCUUUGGAUUUGAAAGGUCAGAAGAGAACUCCAACAGACCUUCCCCAAAGCAGUUUGUGCCACCACUGUGCUGUGCACAGCACUCUCCUGCAGGUCAGCAAGUCCUGUGUUCCUCUGCACAGAAUAACAAAGAAAUGAUCAGUUGAAAGAAAAAAGGAAUACAAUGCACAAUGCACAAGAAGAAGCUUUUGUUAUGCAGACAUGGAUAGGGUCAGUGUGUCUGGAUUUGGAAGCUGGAUAAAACAGUCUACAGAAUCUGAACUACAAGGGCAGGAGUCUCAACCGGGAUGUAUCCUUGUCUUCAGAGAACACAUGCUAACACUCAGAUAAUGAUUCUGCCUACAAUACUCUUAGUCCAGUGAUAGUAAAUGGAUAAUGGAGUGAAUGGAUGUCGGUGCAGAAACCUACACGAACACGUGCCCUAACUGUUAAAACCCAAAGAGAAAGAAAUCUUUUUUUGUCAGACAUCAGAACAAACUCAGAUGUGCUCUUUCCCAGCAUCACUUCUUGCCAAACUGUCUAUGCUGCAUCACAGCAAUUAGCUGAGAAAGAUCUUUCUGUUGUCACUCAUUUAGGAUCCAUUGUAUGUUUGCUCACCUAAAUGAAGUUUACCCCCUGAUUGUAUUCUGCAUUUUGGAUGGCAGCUGCACUGAUAGUUGGUGUGAUCGUAAUGUCAGCCAAAUUGCAGCAGUAUUGUAAAUGUCAGAAUGCCUGCUUAUUUUCAAAACACUGUACGUUUCGUAUUGUGCUUUUCUUAUUUGAAUGAUUAUAUUUAAGGUUUAAAGGUUUAAAUUCCUUUACAUGCUGUUAGAAAUAGCACAGAGCCUUAAAGGCUGUAGCUCUGACAGCUGCAGUCUUGUGAUUUUUUACAGGUUUCAGCAACUCUAGCUCACUAUUAGCAAUGAUUUUUAAAAGCAUAUUUUGUACUUUAUAAGGCUCAUUUGGAACAAAAAUCAUUUUCUGCAAAGUGAGGAUAGCACCAGGCUUUCAUACUGGUGUUUUUUACCAGCUUCUUGCUGCUUUAAGUUCCUGUUGGUUACAUAAGAAUAUAACUUCAGUGAUGCCUGCAUCAAUUUUUUUAUGACAGUGCCUCACCUAAGUUCAAUAUAGUUACUUGGAUUUUACACUAGUGUUAAUAAGAAAACUAUAUCCCAAGCUCUAAAUACUUGGAACAAUCUGAUGCUUGCAUCACAUACAAAUCAGUAUGAUGAGUGCAUUGUUGACAUUGCACUCAGGCCCUUGGGUGUAACAAAGAACUACAGUUGCCCAAACAUUUAUGAGGAUUCCGGCUACUCGGUGCUUCACUGCAUGAUGCUAACAGUGUUCUUUCAAUGGAGUUUUCUUGCUUUAUAAUUUAAUGUAUAAUUGUAUUCUCAUGCUCUGUGCACUUCAGGACCCCUGUACAGCUUUCAGAGCGCAGGAAUUAACAUACUUAGCAUGCAAGCAAGCGAAUCAGAAGUUUUACCAUCCCAUUUCUCCACUCACAACUCCUCUUCAUACUUUCUGACCUGCCCCAAAAAUCCCAUGGUCUUUCUUUGACCAUCUCUUCUUCUCACCAUUAAGAUUCCCAUAUUCUUUGCCCUGCACUGCCUGCGCUGCAGCAGUACAAAUAGUAACUCAGAAGAGUAAAUCUGAAAAUGUUGCAGCAUGUGGUACCAAUAACUGAAUCUUUUUAUUUCAAGGUAAAGGAAUAAAGCACCGACAGUUUUCAAGAAUUGUUGAUUCCUUAAGCACCACUUUUUAAGUGCUUUGAUGUUAAAAGCAAAGAUUCAGAGGCUCUAAUCUGCACAUGACCAGUGUCCUACUGUAUUGCAGUCACGGAAGUAAAAAGCAAAGAUCUUAACGACCUUGGGCUGUUCAAAUUUCAAAGAGAGAUUUACAGCCCACAUAGAAGUAUUUUGACCAGAUUCUGAUCUUGAAAAUCACAAUGUGACUUAUCUACAGUGUGGCUAAAUUGUCCCUUUCUCAUGACCGAAUCUCCCCUGUAUUUCCUAUUAUUGUAUCUUGUCAAAAGCAGUUGUGCAUUAGCUGACAUAUUAUUGCUGGAUUCCUCUAGGGCAGCAAGAUUAUUACAGGAGCGCGAAAUGCAGAGAUUGCUUUAUCUGCAGCAUAGCCUUGCAAUGCAGGUUGUAAUCAGUAUACCUGCACAGUAUCUCCCAGGCACUGACCUGACAUGGGCUGUUACAGAGAGUUGAGUCAGGAACACCCUUCAUAACUGCCAUGGCAGCUGGAAGUGCUGCUGCUUGUCUAGUCUGUGGUCAGCAGCAAAAAGACCUGGUUUUCCUUAGAUUAGAAGAGAGGCCUACGCAUUUCUUCCCUCAGCCUAGCAAAGUUGUUGGUUCAUUCAGGUAGGGCUCACCUUAUGGAUCAGGUAAGUUUCAGGCCGGAUCGUAUCUUCAAGUACUCUCUAGGCUAAACGGUAAAUUUUGAAACACUUGUUGCUUUCUUAACUUUUCACUUUAUACUGUUGUCGUUACUUCUCUCAGGCUCUGCCAGUAAAACGUUUUGCAAAGGUUAGAGGUGCUUUUACUUUGCUGAAGACUUUUUCAAAUUCAAAUGAAUUCAUGCAAUUUUAUUUGUCUUCCAUACUGUGCAUCUUAAUGGAGCCAGACUCCCUGUUUUGCAUUUCAUUUCAGUGCACUCUAUGAGAAUAACUAGAACUAACUAGGAAAUUUAAUUUUUCUAAAUGAUACUUCUAAUUUAUCUCCGGUUAUUAGGUUUUCCAUUUCUUCUCUGACUUCACAUCUCUCUGAGUUCUUGCCCAGUUUUCUGCUGAGUAAUGCUGACUGUUGUGCAGCAUACAUUCUUCCCGCGGAAACAGAGCUAGAAUGGUGUUUCUCUUCAGUCUUCUCUUUGACUUAAAAAAAAAAAAAAAAGUGAAAUCCAUCUUCGUAUUUAUCUGAAGAGAAUGUGUCCAUAGCAGCCUUUCUUCAUUCUGAGCCUGGCAUGGACUUUGGUCUAACAACAUGAUUUAAGUGCUUUAUGUGUUACUGAGAAAUAAAAGCCUACUAAGCAUCCAUCUAUAAUAUGUUAAUCCUUUUAUAAAUAUUUAUUUGCACAUCUAAAACCUGGAAGAAACCUUUAGCUAAUGUAAGCCAGCAUAGCCAUAACUAUGCAGUUUUACACCACCUGUUCUAUUUCAUAUGAGCCACUCUUUCCUGUAGGCAGUCUCGUCUCUGACAAUGCAGAAUUAUAUCAGCAUUGCUCAGGGUGAAAAAAUUGAACAAACUUAUCUCCUAAUAAAGCUGCUAAGACUUGCUAAGGCUGUUGCUGAUGUCCUCCGUGAAACUAACGUCCUAUCUGUUUAUGGAAAACUGGGAGGAAGGGGAUUACAAGAAAUGGUUUUGCACCUGAGUUAGACUGAAAUCCAUCACUUCUGAAAGAUCUGGAAGCACAUGCUAAUCUGGGUUAGUUAGAGCACUCUAAGCUUAUAUGCAGACCAUAUUUUGAUACGAAUGGCAUAUUUCAGUGUAAGUUUAUGCUUGCGUGACAUAAAUAAAAAUGAACUGGAGCUAAAGAAGGAAAGACUGAUUUUCAGUGGUAUUUUUUCUGAAUCAGCUACAUCAAGUUUAAAAUCAUACUUUGAAAGAAGCCCCUUUGACUCUGCAUGCAGACAAACCUUUGAGCUUCUGUUUGUUUGCAUGAUGUAAAGACUAAAGAAUACAAAGCUCUGAUCCGCAUCUCUUUAUUUCUUCACUUGUUAUUUUCUGCUGGAUCCGUGAGGUCGUCACAGUUGGACUAUUGUGACUGCAGUAGUGAUUUUGUGGAAAAGUUAUCUGUGGUGAAAAUAGCAAGUCUAAUUUUGUUAACAACAUAGUGAAGGAUAGGCAAGUCUUUACCUGGACGAUGCUGAUCUGUUAGAAGUGCUUUUUCCUUACCUGAGACUCAUUUCAGUCUCAAGCCUAUUUGCCUGUGUGACAUGCCAUCAACUCUCCCACAUACUCUGAGGAAAAUUUUACACUUACAGCUGCACACUGAUGUUUGCCCCUUUCACUUCCUCUCCCCUAGUUCAUUAACAUGCAUGUCUUCUCUUAUUAGUGUUCAUCAUAAUGUGAACAGCUGGUAACUGUUCUGUUUUCCUUCUCUUCAAAAAGAGGGCUUCACAGCCAUGAGGAAAAUUAGUAGUAGGUAAGAGCAAUUUUUAAUACUGACUUCAUUAAUUUUUUCAUUAUCAUUAUCAUCAUCAUGAUUUCAAGGGUGGGAAGGUAGGCUGUGGGCCCGAUUCUUCUGGUGCUUGGAGGUGUAUAAAGAGAGAGAAAAUCUUCUGAAGGCAGAAGGGCUACAAAUGAAAAUUCGGAGUAAGUAUGAAUCAGGGCCUGAUCAACAUUUUUUCAUGGCUGCCUUUAAAAUAUGAGUAUUUUCUCUUUCAAAUUCCAUGAAAUGUAAUGAAGGGGGGUUUUUUUUGUUUGUUUGCUUGCAUUUUUCAGACACGUACUUCAUCAAAGUUUUGACUUGCCACUGUGCCUCUGUGUCUUACUAUCAAGGUAAGAAUUAUUUCUCUCACUCAUUUAAAGAGAAGAUGAAGAAUUAUGAGAUAAUUGGAAACUAGACAUAUUUCCUAGUUUCCCAACUUCUGUUUUUCCUUCAGAAAUAUGUCUGGUUAAGAUGGAAUAUGCAUUUUCAGUGGAUCAUGACUGUACUUAAGACUGUGAACUAUGAAUACUCAUGUUGCAAGACACUGUGGAAUGUCUGAAACAUCCCAGAACUUAGAUUUCCACCAUCCAAGUAGAAGACAGUUUUGGAAUAGUAUUUCACCUUGCUUUUUUAAUCACUUACAGCAGCAAUUUUCCAGCAUGCCUUUCAUCCAAGACAUAAAAUGUACUCAAUUUUCCUUUCUCAAGUAAUAACCCUGAGAACUUAUUCAUUUUCCAUAGGAAUUAACAUGCUCAUUUACGAUUUUAUUUUGGUGUGGGAAACUCCAUUACAUGAGGUGUUAGACUUGGACUGUGUUUUCCAUGCUACCUGUGGGAGAAGGCAAGAGCCCUGAAACUGUGGAUGCAACCCACUGAGGGCGAGAGAUAUCUUCAGCUACGUAAUUUAGCUGAGGUGUUAUCCAUCUACAUGACCUCACACAGCAUAGUUGUCCUUGGGUAUACAGUGUGACAGAGCAACCUUUCACCUUAUAAAAUGACCAACUUUUCUUUAUUAUUAUUAGCCAAAUGUGGUCAGUUGGCAAGCCAGGUACUAAAGACAGAUAGCUUUAAGGAGUCUUAUCUGUGCGUCUUGCCUAAUGGAGCCAGUGUCCUGCUGUAGGAUUGAUUUGAUGUUUCAAUGUGCUAAGCCUUCCCAUAGUUACAGAUAUUCCUCCUUCAGGCUCUUCUCUUUACACAGGCUUGUACUGCCACAGAGUAGCUUGCCUCAGUCCCUGAGGUAGGAGAUCAUUUUUUCCCCCAGAAAUGUUGUCAUAAAGCUGCAAUCAAUGGCUGACCAAUUUCCACUCCUUUUCCAUAUUAAAUACAAGAGCAAAAUACAGAGUCCUAUUUUCUUUAAACCAAACAAGUUCUUCAGAAUGUAUCUACAGUUAAGUGAAAACAUGUGUUGGCAUCAUAAGGACUGGAAAUCAAUUGGAUUGACUUGGAACUGAUUGUUUCCUUUGCAUAUUCCUUCCCUAUUGUUAUACUGUCUUGGUUUUCAUUUGACUCUAAUCUCCCAUUCCAAAGAAAAAUAAUUUAAAACAGAUUGAUACGUUACUUCAAGAAGAACAGAAGUCUUAAGCAGUUGGAUGAACAGAAAAUUUAGGAAAUAGUGGAGGCACGAUGUCAGGAGAAAAAUAACAAUAUAUAUACUUUGAAUGUUGAGUUACUUCCCUGUCUUCCAAAUAGAAAUUUACAUACAGCAAUCAGUUGUCAGACAGACACUACACCUGCUUAUUUAUGCCCUGUGGGAUCGGAUUUUUCUUUGGAAAUAUUUAUUGCCUAUUGUAUGCCACUAGAGGGUGCUCUGAUUUAGUAUUACCGGGAAAUUAUAAGAAGUUUCUCUGGUGGAAUCUCUUACUUCUCUGAAGUUUACUGCAGCCUUAGUUCUUACAGUCCUAAUUCUUAUACUCCUAAUUGCUCUGUCUGGCCUGUUUGUUUGCUUGUUAUACUUCCCUUUUUUAUUUAGGAUUUCUGCAAACUGAGAAACUCCUUCUGAAUGAGUUAGUCGUUCAUCAUCGUGAUGCUAUUUUAAUGGCAUUUGUCAGCACAGCACAAAUACUCUCCCUGCAUCUCUCCUCACAUCACAGCCAAACAUGACCUACCGUCCUACACUGAAGCCAGCAUUAAACAGCUUUCAAGUGAUUAAAAUAGAUGUGGUCGAAUCCAGGAAUCCAGGACUGUACUGAAAGGCUACAAUGAGGCCUCCCUGGAGCUGUCUCUUCUCCAGACUGAAUAAGCCCAGCUCCCUCUGCCAUUCCUCACAGGAGAGGUGCUCCUGCCAUGUUGAUCACUGAAAGAGGCAGAACUGUGUUAAAAUCAUCUCUCUUUCUUUGUUAAAUUGAUCUUAACUUUAUUUAGAAUCAUACUCCAGAUUGUGCUCAGAUGACUGUGCAGUCUCUGGUAUGCUGUGAAUGACAACAUAAUCAAAGUGCAAUUUGAUGGAAUAGAGAGAAAGAGUAUACUAGAAGCCUGAUUUGAGGGAUCACCACUUAAUUACAAAAAAUAUAUAUGUAAUAAAAUAAGCAGAGAGAGUUAACAAUAUGGUCCAAAACUUUAGAGAUGAAAAAAUGGUAAAUAAAAGAAUUCAGUAGUUUGAAAACUAGUUAUUGCAGAGAAGUUUGUUCAGACUGGAAGACCAGGGUGUAUUCUUGUAGGCAGGUAGGGAAAAGGUUGAAGUCUGUACAUGUGAAAUGCUAACAGGAAGAAAAGGAAAAUGAUAUGAAGAAGAGAGAAAUAAUGGGGUGAAUGUGCAAGCUUUAGAGGCAAACUGAGACAGGACAGCUUCUGCAAGAGGGAAUCCCUAUUUUUAAUGAAAAUUAACUGGUACUGUUCUAAGUCCAAGGCAGCAUGAUUUUUCUUGGAGUAUGUUUCCUUCUUUAGCAGAAGUUGUGUUAUUCAUUAUCAUCUGAAAUUAAACACAACUUAUUUAUUUAAAAUUAUCAUUCUCAUACAAUCCAGUAAGAAACCCAAUAUGUCACUUUAAAGGUCAGACUUUAAAAUGGAUUUGAAUUUACAUUAUUGAAAUAAGCCUGGAAAUGUUGCACACAGUCACUUCUGACUGCAAAUAAAGAAUAUUUUAUUUUCCUGGAUUGUGGCUGAAGGUAAUUUGGGUCAGCAAACAGACUGUAAAUCGUGUUGUGUACUGAAAUACACUAGAGAAUGAAAAAAAAAGAGUAUUCAUUUUUUCACACCUGCAGUUAAUUGCAUUUUCUAGAAGGUGUUUUCCAGACAUCACUAGGACUGUCCUAUGAUCUGUGAUUUCAUAUUUUCACUCUAUUACCAAAAGACCCCUUUGCAUAAAAGUUGCAACUUUCAUACCCUUUAUCCUUACAUCAGAAUGAAGCCUUCACACAAUUUUGACUUUUCUCUGUGACUUCUGAUAUUUUACAACUGACAGUAGUGUUUUAUAAUCUUAUCUACAUCGCUGAAAGAUUUCUCAGUCUUUUGUGUAGAUACCAUUUUUACACUCCCAUUGACAGAACUGGGAAGAGAGACAUAUUUUUUUUGCUGUGGUUAAGCUGUAGUGAAGAUUCUUGAAUACUUCUUGGAGGGUAAUACAAAUCAUCUUCAUUGCUUGUGGAAAUGGGCAGAUUAGAGCUGUUGUGCCUCAGACAGGACUGUACAGCUCAGAAGAAGAUGCAUAGUCCUGUCACUGUACCUCUUUUGGAGCUGAUGUUUGUUUUAUUAUUAUUUUGAUUUUUUAAAUAAAAGAAAAAAAGGUAUUGCUGCUUUUCCAUUCCCACUCUGAAUAUUGUUUUUCUCCAAGACUUGUGUAACUACAGCUAACUGUGUGGAAACCACUAAACAGGCAUGUAUACUAAUUUAUAUAAUAAAUACCUAUGUAUUAUAUCAGGUACUGUAAUAAAUGAUAAGAAUUUUAUUGUGAUAGGUACUUUAAAAGUUGUGCGAUAAGUUUUCUGUCACCUGCUGAAAUCUCACAAGACUUUCUAAAAUUAAUUUGUUCUAGUUAUUCCUAGAGUCAGGUAAUAUUACUUUCUUGCAUGUACUUACACUAAUUCAUCCCUGUGUAUAAUUGUAUGCAAAAGGGCCAAGAACAAGGCUGAACUUUCUAAAUUGAGACUGUCUGCAGAUCGCCAUGAUUAGCAGAUCUGAAUACCAGGGAUGUAAUUGAUCUGGGCUAGACACUGUAGAAAGCAGGAAAAAAAAGUUCUGCUGCUGCAUCAGUCUCCUUAAUUGUUCAGAAAUAAUUGUGUUCGUGAGGUACUUUAUAUUACAUGAAUUGAAAAAAAAACAGGAUAUAAUUCAGUAUGAUGAGCUGAGUAGUGAUUUCUCAGAGCGUUAACACUGGAGAGAUUGUAAACCCAACUGUUAAAUAUUUUUAUUCCAGCAGGUACAGAUGUAUUCAUUUGUAAACAUCAUAUUAACAUUACUUUGCACAGGCAUGUUGUCUUUUGUCCCAAAAUGCCAAUGAGCUUUACAAAUACUAAUGUUUCAUGGGGUCUAUAUUCGUCAUAGCUUCCUUAGCCGUUCAGUCACAAGUGCUGCAAAUAGUACACAGUUUGUUAUAUAAUCUUUGUAUUUGGUUGCACAAGUGUACAUCCUGUGAUGUAGUCAUAUGUAGUCAUGCUUGACAAUGCAUUACUUACCACAUAUCCCUGCUGUGGAGGGAUAUAAAAUUGUGGGAUUCAUGUUUGUGUAUUUAAAGCAUUUGCCUGACCAUUUAUAGGCAGAAAAUGAUUCUUGUUAUCUUUUCCUUUUGCAUUCUUGCCAAGUAACCAGAGAGUCAUAGAAUAGCUUAGGUUGGAAGGGACCUUAAGGUUUACCCAGUUCCAAUCCCCAGCCUUGAGCACAGUUGCUAC